ensembl:lncRNA
GUACUACCUUCUGAGUUGAAGUGCCUGCCGCGUCCUUCACACUGAUCUGUGUUGCUUUUCAUCAGUUCUCUUCAAUAGUGCUGCGUGAGAGCCACCACAGAUAUAUCAUCAAACCCAUCUGCAAUGAGCCCAGACUAACUCCUUGCCAGAAGAUACCAUGCAUGGAGCAUCUGGAACACCAGAUUCCUCCUUUGCUGCCAUAAGGGUGGUUAUAUUACGGGAAGUAGCAAGCAAGAAACAAGCAAUCUGUGGCUGACUUUUGAAGAUGUAAUGCUGAACAAUAAGGCACCUUUACCAUCCAUAUAGGCUGUUACUAAAACAAGACAGCUACCACAAAAUGGAUUUUGAUAUUCUGUAUGAGCUCAGUACACAUCUACUGCAAAAGUCUCAUCUGUGUAUCCUGAAUUGCUCCUGAAGAUAUGGAGUAGAGUUUUGAAUGGCAUUUAUAUCGCCCCUUCCAAGAAGACCAUCAGAUAACAGACAGCAGUAAAUUUCCUUCACUUGAAAUGGGGUUCAAUCAAACUAAGUGUACACAGCUCUUUAUUUACAACUGAACUACUCAUUCCAGGCUUCUCUACAGGCAAGUGGGAGAAAAAUAGACAUGUCUAGAUCCCAAAUUGUAGGACUUAUUUUAGAGGCUCAUAUUAAUAGCUGCUGAAUCCUAACCUGACAACGUCUGUUGGUCUCCUUAGCCACUAAGAAUCACACGUCAGUUCUCGGGAAUGCAAUUCUCCUAGACAGAAAGAGUUCCAGGAGCCAGCCUCCAGCACAGACUUCUCAGUGUAAUGGAGUAACUUAGUAUUAAUAGUUAAAAUCUUAAAUACACAGUACAAAAAGCAUGUAAAGAUUAAUGCAAUACAGAUAGCACAUUAAGAAUUCAUAUCUCCUGUAAUAUGAUGUGCCUUAUCUGUAAUUAUGACAAUAAUAACAGAGAAAACAAGUGAAAAGGAGAGAAAAAAAGUUAGUAUUCAGAAUGUAUAUUGAUUCAGCAUAUUAUUAUUAGUUCACUAACCUACUGAAGAAGAAUUCUUAGUUAAUUUUCCAAAGCGUAAACAUAAAAAUUUUGCAGAAGCAUUUGGAAGAGUUGGGAUGGGAAGCACAGCAUGAACACUGAUUCAGUAACAGUGAAGUACUGCUGUAGAGCAUUAUUCUUCUUUUAAUAUUUUAACUGAUAAAAAAUCAGUUUAAUAUACAAUAUUAAAUUAUAUUACUCUACUUAAGGUAGACGUAUGAAUCUAUUGAUAAUAUAAAACAAUCUCACUCUUACAUGAGGCCAGAGUUAUAUUUGUGAAUGAGUUUUCUUCUCUAUUUUUGCUCAUAGGAGGCCUCAACACAUUGAGCACAUGAGUAUUCUUACCACCAGUGUUUUCUGGUUAUCUAACUUCCUUUAUGUGAUUUUUACCCAUGUAUUGUUAAAAAGUUACUUGUAUUUUUUAACAUGUAGUAUUUAAGUAUUACGAUUUAUCGGUGGGUUUAAAGAAGCCUCCCAGGAAUGCACUUCAUACCUGUUGUCCAUUCCUGGAGUGCUUCUGGAUCAAAGCAGAGGACCAAAGCCCCAAGGACCAUUGAGAGUGACUGAACGUGGAAAAUUAUUCAAAAGAUCUCCACAUCUAAACGAAACUCACAGUUCAAUCUCAUCUCUCAUUUUGGCACCGGUUGCAUACAUGAUCCUGGACAUUUACUUCUCAUAUGAAGACUGAACCCCUGUGGACAAUUUCAGCAAUCUUGUCCUUCCACUUCAGCAAUGUUCUAAGAUCCAUUGGCUUCAGCAGGAGCUUUUCAGCCAUCUUUCAAUUGAGGUUUUAAUCAGAUCCUCAGUGAAUACAAAUCAAAUACAGAAGAAAACUGUUUCUUAGGACAUUUUCUGUCAUGAUUCUCCAUUUACCGUUACAUUUCGUGAUGAUAGCCUCUUCAGCUUUUCUCUCAGCAAUUACUUUAGAUCAGCGGAAAAAUCUGUUUCUGUUGUUAGUAAAAACACAUUUAAGACAUCUUUCUGCAAUCUAGACUGCUGUUCCCAGCUGCAAAGUAUGAAUUAUGCAUGCUUCUUGUCUUCUUAGAGUAUGAAAAAAAC